UACGAAGGGGGCUAGCGUUGUUCGGAAUCACUGGGCGUAAAGCGCACGUAGGCGGAUUUUUAAGUCAGGGGUGAAAUCCCGAGGCUCAACCUCGGAACUGCCUUUGAUACUGGAGAUCUUGAGUCCGGAAGAGGUAAGUGGAACUGCGAGUGUAGAGGUGAAAUUCGUAGAUAUUCGGAAGAACACCAGUGGCGAAGGCGGCUCACUGGCCCGGUACUGACGCUGAUGUGCGAAAGCGUGGGGAGCAAACAGGG
rnacentral:rRNA from 1 species